UACGGGGGGGGCAAGCGUUGUUCGGAAUUACUGGGCGUAAAGGGCGCGUAGGCGGCCUGCUAAGUCGGGUGUGAAAACUCUGGGCUCAACCCAGAGCCUGCACUCGAAACUGACGGGCUUGAGUUCUGGAGGGGAAAGCGGAAUUCCUGGUGUAGCGGUGAAAUGCGUAGAUAUCAGGAGGAACACCGGUGGCGAAGGCGGCUUUCUGGACAGAAACUGACGCUGAGGCGCGAAAGCUAGGGGAGCAAACAGG
rnacentral:rRNA from 1 species